UCCCCAGUGGCUCAGAUGGUAAAGCGUCUGCCUGCAAUGCGGGAGACCCAGGUUCGAUCCCUGGGUUGGGAA
rnacentral:tRNA from 1 species